GAAACCAACAGGGAUUGCCUUAGUAACGGCGAGUGAAGCGGCAAAAGCUCAAAUUUGAAAUCUGGCACCUUCGGUGUCCGAGUUGUAAUUUGAAGAAGGUAACUUUGGAGUUGGCUCUUGUCUAUGUUCCUUGGAACAGGACGUCACAGAGGGUGAGAAUCCCGUGCGAUGAGAUGCCCAAUUCUAUGUAAAGUGCUUUCGAAGAGUCGAGUUGUUUGGGAAUGCAGCUCUAAGUGGGUGGUAAAUUCCAUCUAAAGCUAAAUAUUGGCGAGAGACCGAUAGCGAACAAGUACAGUGAUGGAAAGAUGAAAAGAACUUUGAAAAGAGAGUGAAAAAGUACGUGAAAUUGUUGAAAGGGAAGGGCUUGAGAUCAGACUUGGUAUUUUGCGAUCCUUUCCUUUUUGGUUGGGUUCUCCGCAGCUUACUGGGCCAGCAUCGGUUUGGACGGUAGGAUAAUGAUUAAGGAAUGUGGCUCUGCUUCGGUGGAGUGUUAUAGCCUUGGUUGAUGCUGCCUGUCUAGACCGAGGACUGCGUCUUUUGACUAGGA
rnacentral:rRNA from 1 species